AAUCAACGCUGGCGGCGUGCCUCAGACAUGCAAGUCGAACGAUUAAAGCUCCCUUCGGAGAGUGCAUAGAGUGGCGCACGGGUGAGUAACACGUAAGUAAUCUACCCUCGGGUGGGGAAUAACGUCCGGAAACGGACGCUAAUACCGCAUAAUGCAGCGGCACCGCAAGGUGACAGUUGUUAAAGGAGUAAUCCGCCUGGGGAGGAGCUUGCGGCAGAUUAGCUAGUUGGUAAGGUAAUGGCUUACCAAGGCUACGAUCUGUAACCGGUCUAAGAGGACGGUCGGUCACACUGACACUGAAUAACGGGUCAGACUCCUACGGGAGGCAGCAGUCGGGAAUUUUGGGCAAUGGGCGAAAGCCUGACCCAGCAACGCCGCGUGAAGGAUGAAGUAUUUCGGUAUGUAAACUUCGAAAGAAUAGGAAGAAUCAAUGACGGUACUAUUUAUAAGGUCCGGCUAACUACGUGCCAGCAGCCGCGGUAAGAC
rnacentral:rRNA from 1 species